rnacentral:rRNA from 1 species
AACGAACGCUGGCGGCAUGCCUAACACAUGCAAGUCGAACGAGACCUUCGGGUCUAGUGGCGCACGGGUGCGUAACGCGUGGGAACCUGCCCUUAGGUUCGGAAUAACUCCCCGAAAGGGGUGCUAAUACCGGAUAAUGUCUUCGGACCAAAGAUUUAUCGCCUUUGGAUGGGCCCGCGUUGGAUUAGCUAGUUGGUAGGGUAAAAGCCUACCAAGGCGACGAUCCAUAGCUGGUCUGAGAGGAUGAUCAGCCACAUUGGGACUGAGACACGGCCCAGACUCCUACGGGAGGCAGCAGUGGGGAAUAUUGGACAAUGGGCGAAAGCCUGAUCCAGCAAUGCCGCGUGAGUGAUGAAGGCCUUAGGGUUGUAAAGCUCUUUUACCCGGGAUGAUAAUGACAGUACCGGGAGAAUAAGCUCCGGCUAACUCCGU